CUCUUAUCCAGAGUAGGUGGAGGGACUGGCCCGAUGAAACCCGGCAACCGGCAUUUAAUGUACGGUGCUAAAUCCUGCAGGAAAAAUACUGGGAGAUGAGAG
rnacentral:ncRNA from 2 species